rnacentral:rRNA from 1 species
UACGUAGGCAGCGAGCGUUGUUCGGAGUUACUGGGCGUAAAGAGUGCGUAGGCGGUUUUCUAAGUUUGGUGUGAAAUCUCCCCGGCUCAACUGGGAGGGGUGGCGCCCGAAGACUGGAAGGCUUGAGUAUGGGAGAGGUAAGCGGAAUUCCUGGUGUAGCGGUGAAAUGCGUAGAUAUCAGGAGGAACACCUGCGGGUGUAGACGGCUUACUGGACCAUAACUGACGCUGAGGCACGAAAGCGUGGGUAGCAAACAGG